UAGGAGGUGGGAAACACAAAGGACCCCUGUUGCCUGGCCAUUGCCUAAUGUUGUAGAGAUAAGUGAAAUAAAUACAAAGCAUAAACCUAGAUUAAAGUUACUUGGAGUGGACAGGAAGAAGGGGUAUUAGGAACAGAAAACAUGAGAACUAAAUGUUCAGAGAAAAAGCAACUUGAAGAUCUUUGGCAAGGCCAACCAAAAAACAGAAUCUGACCUCCUUCGGACACCUGAAGUCAACAACAGACCAGAAUAUUAGGAAAUCUAUUUCCCUCUUGAAAUACAACAAACUAUCUCCAAGA